GGUUGUGUAGUGUAGCGGUUAUCACUCCGGAUUCUGAUCGCCUCAGGGUAUUCCGGCAACCCCGGUUCGAUUCCGGGCACGACCU